rnacentral:lncRNA from 1 species
UAUGGCAAGGACUGGUAACCUAAAUAUUUAGUUAAAGAAUUAGGAGAGAAAUAAAAUAAGUAAAAAUUCAGCAAUAAACUGCUUCCAUUGUAAGCAGUUAAAUUGGUAUUAAAGUCAUGGAAAAGGAAGUGAGCUUCUCAGCUGUUUUUUCAUUCUGUGACUUAGCCCAAUUACCCAACCUAAAAUAAAAUCAAGAGUUUCCAAUGAAAGAAGUUGCAAAAUAUUCUAAUCAUGCCAUACCCAGGGUCAAGUGUUUAUAUCUAUAAUCUUAGGUUGUCGGAUGUUGAAAUUGAUAGCUUACCCAAUAAUUGGACACCUAUAAGUAAGAAUUUGUUAUACAUUUCUCAAUCUUAGUUACAGGAUGUGAUGGACUAUAUUUCUGUCUGUAUGGCUUUACAACAUCUGUGCAGCACAGGCCACGAGCUUCGGGUGACCAAGCAAAUAGGCACAGAUCAGAAGAGGCUGAAUGAGCUAGAAUGACCAGAUGAAGUCAAGUGAAGAGAAAGUUGUCCAGAACUUGGAGACUGAUCAUUCUGAUGUACCUGGAGAAGCUUCGGGUCACACCUCUCCACCAGGGCCUGGUUUGUAUGGAGAUGUUUGCUUUGAUGAUGAUGAACCAUGGGCUGAAGACGCAGCAGGCGAGUCAUAAACAUCUCUGGAUGAUUUCAGGAAUAAUGUCCGACACUAUCCAAGAGUGACCUGAUUAUCUGGAAUGAGCAGUAAAUGGAACAUCCUAAGAACUGGAAUUUCUGAUUAUUUGAUGGUAACCACUGGAAGCACUCUUUGUUUCAAUCAUUGUUGAAGCACUUUAGGAAUAAAGUUCUUUGCUGUCAUCAUUUCUGACAGCAUUUCAGAAAUGCUGAAAGAAAAGAAGCUUCAUUUUCUUGUUUGCUGUCAGCACGCACAAUGUUGAAGCAUCAUUUAAUCUUAUUUUCACAGCUUAGGAAUUUGUGGAGGUUUUAGAAUGAGCAUGUUAACAAUGUUUCUCUUUCCUUUUACUACAGAUGAUUAAGGAAAAAUCAAUUACACUGAAUCAGGUUUGACCUUAAAAUGUGCCCUGGGAUUUCUUUUCUUACCAUCUGGCUUCUUUUCUUUUAAAAAUAAAGAUCAGAAAAAAAUGCCAGAAAAUAAAUUUCUAGUUCACCUGUUCAAAUAAACAUGCCAGUGUCUCUAGUUUAGGAGCUUCCCCUCACCCCAAAUUAUUUCUAAACAACUUCACUAAACUUUAACACAAUGACAAAGAUUAACUGUGAUUACAAUGCUCCCUGGGCAUCUGCACAGAAUAUGUUGCAGGAGCAACAAAAUGUCCAGUAAGUGACUGACUUACUGAUGUGAAGCUUGGGAGAGACUUCUAGGUUGGAAAUUUAGAUUAAGAAGUCACCAGCAAUUAGACAAAAUAACUAGUACUGGUCACUGUAAUUUAUUGGUAAUAAAUAUAAGACCCAGGAAGGGAGUGGACCAGAGUUAUCUACUCAUUUAUUUUUUCACUAUUCAUUCAUACCUUCAUUCAGGGACUAAAUACCGCCUAUGAAUUGGUUGAAAUAAAACCAAGACUUCUGUUUUCCACAACAGUGCUCUAAAAGCAUUUCUAAAACCAAAAAACUUCACUCAAAUUUUCUUGGGCUUCUCUUUUCAAUAGGCAAUGAGUUCUGGGCUGUCAGAAGAGUUGAGAUGCAAGCAGGUUAUCUAAGAGACAUUCACACCCUGGGUUUUCCUCCAACCAUAAAGAAAACUGAUGUAGCUAUUUCUGAUAAGGAAAAGAAGAAAAGACGCUUCUUUGUAGAGGACAAAUACUAGAGGUAAGUAGCAAUAGGAAUGACUUCAUAUGAAGCCUAAUUGGGAAAAUCUUUUUUUUUUUUCUUUAAGGAUAUCCCCUACUCCCACAAUCAAAGUUUCUCUAAUUUCAAAUGUUCUGAUUAUGAAGAAGACAGCUAAUAAUCAUUCAACUUCCCAGAUAUAACCAAGGAAUCUCAGAAUGGCUGAUCCUUGGGUCAUACAUCCAGACACCAAAAGGCAUCAGCAGAGACCAGCUGAGGCCCAGACAAUGCGCCAUUAUAGGAAGCCCAGGUGUAUCAGGCUGAAGAGCAAGCGUGAUAAAGAACUGAAAGUUUACUUUAGCCAAUGAUUUAAUUCAUUUUGCAUCAUUUGUAUAUGCAGUCCUCAAGCAUCUGAAGCAAAAAAGACACUUAGGCUCCGUGUGUCUAGACUUAGAAAAUUGACCUCAGACAUAGUGUAUGGUCCCUCUAUAGAAGAGCAUGAUGUCCUUGUAUCUGGGCAAAGUCUUGUUUUAUGUACUAAACUUUUAAGCCCAAGAAAGUCACAUAUUUUUAUAGUCAAAAAAAUAUUUAACACUUCCUUACACCAUUUUAGGAUUUUAUCCAGGAUUUCACACUGGGACAUUAAUAUGACAUCAUACUUUUGCCAUGGGGCCUCUGCAUAAUAUUGAACUGUGUUUCUUUCAUUUGGUAUGGAUUUGAUGAAAAUAGCUAGUCCAUGAAGCAAAGUUUUCCCAGACUAAUAGCUGAUGACUUUCCUGGAGUUGAGCUGAAGAUUAAUGCUGUGUAACAGGCAUUUGGUAAGAGGACACUCAUUUCAUUGCCAAUGGGGACACUUUAGGGAAUUUUAUGGUGUCAAACUGAAGAGGAAACACAAAACACUUUUCAACUAACUCAAGCUUAUAUCUUUUCAUUCUAAACUCUUGAAAAAUUCCACUUUCCAACUUAUGCAAAUUGAGCUUAAACUUUUUUCUUGAAUAAUUUCCAAGUCACUGUUUCAUCCUGAGCCCUGCAUGCAUGCUCAAUCAUGUCUGACUUUGUGACCUCAUGACUACAGCCCACCAGUCUCCUCUGUCCAUGGAAUUUUCCAGGCACGAAUACUAGAGUGGGUUACCAUUUCCUACUCCAGAGGAUCUUUCCGACACAGUGAUCAAACUGGUGUCGCUUGCAUCUCCUCCACUGGCAAGUGAAUUCUUUCCUGCUGUGCCACCUGGGAAGCCUCCACUGUUUCCCACUUGCACUUAAAAUCAAAGGAUACUUCCUCACGUCAUAGCCAUUUCAAGUCACUGUUUCGGAAUAAAAAUGCAACCGAGCGUGAACCAGGUCUGCUAGUACCUGCUUUUCUUUCUCCUCCAGCACCUCCUUGUUGGCCAUGCUCUGCUAUUCCAAGGAGAGAUGAGAAGAGUCUGUCUGGCUUUCUGCUGCAGGCUGCCAUUGCCUAUAUUAAAUAUUAUUUGUAAAUAAAUUAUAGCCNNNNNNNNNNNNNNNNNNNNNNNNNNNNNNNNNNNNNNNNNNNNNNNNNNNNNNNNNNNNNNNNNNNNNNNNNNNNNNNNNNNNNNNNNNNNNNNNNNNCAUUGCCUAUAUUAAAUAUUAUUUGUAAAUAAAUUAUAGCCCUUCCAUACACUCAAAAAAAGACAAAAGUUGACUGCUGGUAAUGAACAGAUGAGAAAGCAAAAAGCGUGCUUGCUUUUAAGGAAUCUGGAGGGAGCUGCCAGGGCUUGACAUCAUAAGGCUCAGCCCAUAGGGCUAUUGAUCUUGUUA